GUCCUACUCCCUCCGUUCCGAAUUACUUGUCUUAAAUUUGUCUAGAUACGGAAGUAUCUAGUAUUAAAAUGAGUUUAGAUACAUCCGUAUCUAGACAAAUUAAGACAAGUAGUUCAGAACGGAAAGAGUAUAAU
rfam:Triticum urartu cultivar G1812 contig801681, whole genome shotgun sequence.